rnacentral:rRNA from 1 species
UACGAAGGUCCCAAGCGUUAUCCGGAUUCAUUGGGUUUAAAGGGUGCGUAGGCGGAUUGGUAAGUCAGUGGUGAAAUCUCCGAGCUCAACUCGGAAACUGCCAUUGAUACUGCUGAUCUUGAGUUUAGUUGAAGUGGGCGGAAUGUGUCAUGUAGCGGUGAAAUGCUUAGAUAUGACACAGAACACCGAUUGCGAAGGCAGCUCACUAAGCUAAUACUGACGCUGAGGCACGAAAGCGUGGGGAUCAAACAGG